UACGUAGUGGGCAAGCGUUGUCCGGAAUCAUUGGGCGUAAAGCGCGUGUAGGCGGCUGAGUAAGUCUGCUCUGAAAGCCCGGGGCUCAACCCCGGGAGGCGGGUGGAUACUGCUCAGCUCGAGUCCGGAAGAGGAGUGUGGAAUUCCUGGUGUAGCGGUGAAAUGCGCAGAUAUCAGGAGGAACACCAAUGGCGAAGGCAGCACUCUGGGACGGUACUGACGCUGAGACGCGAAAGCGUGGGGAGCAAACAGG
rnacentral:rRNA from 1 species